rnacentral:rRNA from 1 species
CAGUCGCCGCGGUAAUACGGAGGGUGCAAGCGUUAAUCGGAAUUACUGGGCGUAAAGCGCACGCAGGCGGUCUGACAAGUCAGAUGUGAAAUCCCCGGGCUUAACCUGGGAACUGCAUUUGAAACUGUCAGGCUGGAGUCUUGUAGAGGGGGGUGGAAUUCCAGGUGUAGCGGUGAAAUGCGUAGAGAUCUGGAGGAAUACCGGUGGCGAAGGCGGCCCCCUGGACAAAGACUGACGCUCAGGUGCGAAGGCGUGGGGAGCAAACAGGAUUAGAUACCCCUGUAGUCCCUGUCUCUUAUAC